AAGCAAUGAGGUUUCAACAAGUGGCUGAUUGGGCAAGGGCACAUGGCCAGAAUUAUACUUAUAAAUAUUGAAAUGUGGCUGAUCUUUUUGAAAUUAGCAUUAGCCAAAGAAAGAAAAACCAUAAAUAAGCCAAACAUUUGUGUGUUCGAAAGAGUCUACAUGUUAUGCAAAUCGGCCACGUUUCGUUUUCGAUUUUCUGAAAACUUUAUCACCGAUUCAGCAUGGAAAUAAAAAUCAUAACGACCAUGCAUGCCAUUUGGACACUACACAAUGGACUUCAGAGAUGAACCCCCGGCCAUAUGUGUGUUGUGAAGAUUCCGCUAAUUGCCAUUGGUGGCUGGUAUUUCAAUUGCUGGUGACCUGUCGCUCAGGUGCACCGUGCACCCAUCAAACGUGUAUUGUGUGGCAUUGCACAAGCCGCCACUAGUCGCACUCCGGCUCAAAAGUCAAAAGUUAUGGCUUUUUUUGGCUAAUGCUGGCUGCUAGCUGCUGGAUGGUGCUGCAUUUGUGCAUCUGCUCCUAACGACUCUCGAGAUGACGCAUCAUCUAUUUACAUAUUUCGGUUUCGGUGUCAAUAAAUCGACGCACAGUAGUCAAGAUAUGCUAAUGGUUUAAUUAGCGUCAUUUGCUAGCUCAACCAGCUCACCUCUCUUCUCUGCCCGAUGCUGCUGCUCGUCGAUGGUGAAGCCGAACUUGUAGGGACGCACUGUGGUCGCGGCCGACAGGACAUGGGUCAAGGUGCACAGGAGCAGCAGCUUUAAAGGGAACUCAAUGAAUGCCGGGUUCAGAGUUGGGAUCAAACUUAAGCACUUACAGCACAGACAAACGCCAUCAAUUUUAGGCUCAUUUUGGGAAUUUAUUAUUUAUUUAAAUCGGUCACCAAUUUUAUUUUAUUUUCACGCCCUAAUAUAAACUGUCAGAGCUCACACAAAAACGCAUAAAUAAACGGGCGUUUAUAUUUUAAUACAAAUACGCGAUUAUAAAUAUUUAGAUUUCAAGCGGACGGAAAGACGCGUUUCUCACGGCUAGAUUAUCGGCACGGAGCAAGCGCCUUAGAAUGAAACACACCCCACGAUGUUCGGCAGCGAAUUGACAAUGUUAAUAAUAUUAGGUAAACAUUAUAAAACAUUAGAGGCGGACGAGAACCUGCCGCUGCUUGUUGGCCAAGUGUGCGUGCGAAUCUCUGCCUUCUACACGUUGUGUAUUUCGCCAAGUCGGAUCGCAUAGCUGGUAGCAUUGGCCAGAUCGCAUCACACCUCUUGAGCCUCAGCCAAGCCUGUGCUUAUAAUUUAAAAUUUCAUGCAGUUUGAAAAGUUAUUUAUUUGAUUAUUUAAACUGCUUGUCAGCUAGUUCUGAACUUACUAAGUAAUUUGCAUCCUCGAUAUUUUUUAUACAAAAGCUAAAUUAGUUUUGGUAAAUAACCUUUUUGGCUUUUAUUGCUAGACUUCCUGAGUAUUUUUGGUCCGUAUUGAUUUAUUUGUAGAUUGAGUUCUAGUAAAGUGCAUACAAAAGUCGUUAUUAGAUAUUUUUUAUAUUUAAGCAAAUAAAGAUCCAAAAAAAUCAAAUUAUGAGAGAAGUUUUACAAGAUUAAAUUUAGAAUGGUCUAAUUUAUUAGUACUGUAUUGAAAUUUAAUAACACUUUAGAUUGGUCUUCAAAAUCGGCUAUCAGGCCUGAAGGGUAGUUCAUGCCGAUUUGUAUCUGUUAAUAAUUAAUCGACCCCAAUGUAUUUGCAAUCCAACUUGUUGAGUCUCAUCGAUAGCCAGGCAUUUGACCUGCUUGAUGAGCAAAUUCGAAUGCAAUGAGGAAGAUGUUUGCACUUCUCUAUUUUCAUCGAUCGGCAAUCAGCAGUGAGCUUAUCUUCUGCCGGAUACUGCAAGUCAAUUGUAAUUGAAAUAUUGCUGUCAAGUUCGGCAAUGACUGAUGUUGUAUGCUAAAAUUUGCAUAUUAAUUGCUAUAACAGUUGUCUUUCAAUACGAGCAUAAAUGAUUCGCGUCUAAAGAGACGCAUCACGAAGAUACUGGUAAUUAGCAUUUAGCCCCCAAAAGUAUGCAAGGGAUUUAAAAAGUUCGUUGCCUAAGUCAUUCGAUUUCAAUGCAAUCUGAAUAGCUAUAGCCUGAAAGUAAGCUUAAGAGUCUUUUAUGAUUAAACUAUGCACUUUAAAUCCGCAAAGCCGAC
ensembl:ncRNA asRNA:CR46005 antisense RNA:CR46005